UUCGGGGAGACUUUGAUCUUGCCGGAGGCGAGUCGACGGGCACGCGUCCCGACGCCGCCGUAUUCAUCCCCCGGGGGCGGAAUUUUCAAAGACGUCACGCGGAUCGUCGGGGGGGCGGCCGGAGGCAUCAAAGACACAGUUCGCAUUUUAUUAUGCCCGGGAUUUAAAAUUAACCUUUAUUGUGUCAGUUCAUUUUGUUAACUUACGUUACGCAUCGACGAGUUGACGGAAAUUUCAUUAAACGGUGAAGUUUGAGGAAUUUUUGCGGCCAGUUUAAGUCAUUUAUUAUGGAAAAGGUUCUGAAUAUUCAAUUGCUUGUAAGCACUUAAGAAACAGCUUUGAAUGUCUGGAAGGGAUUAUAAUGAAAGCCGUGUCACACGAUAAUGUUAAAUUCGAACGAAGAUCAAACACUCGAGGUUGCAACAAGGAAGCAGUACAUAAUUACUUUAACAGGAAAAUAACUUCAAGGUUACCAGAGCUUAUAUCUGGAGGUAACUUAACAGGAGAUGUUAAGGAAUUGAGCAGUGAAGAAUUAGAC